rnacentral:tRNA from 1 species
GGGAUGUAGCUCAGUUGGCUAGAGCGCUUGACUGGCAGUCAAGAGGUCGUGGGUUCGACUCCCAUCUUCUCC